rnacentral:piRNA from 2 species
UGACUGAGCACUAGAUCCAUCCACGCAGGU